GUGGGGAAUCUUGGACAAUGGGCGCAAGCCUGAUCCAGCAAUGCCGCGUGGGUGAAGAAGGCCUUCGGGUUGUAAAGCCCUUUUGUCAGGGAGCAAAUCCUUGGACUUAAUACGUCCCGGGGAUGAGAGUACCUGAAGAAUAAGGACCGGCUAACUACGUGCCAGCAGCCGCGGUAAUACGUAGGGUCCAAGCGUUAAUCGGAAUUACUGGGCGUAAAGCGUGCGCAGGUGGCUUGUUAAGAUCGAUGUGAAAUCCCCGGGCUCAACCUGGGAAUGGCAUUGAUGACUGGCUCGCUAGAGUACGGCAGAGGGGGGUGGAAUUCCACGUGUAGCAGUGAAAUGCGUAGAGAUGUGGAGGAACACCGAUGGCGAAGGCAACCCCCUGGGCUGAUACUGACACUCAUGCACGAAAGCGUGGGGAGCAAACAGG
rnacentral:rRNA from 1 species